ACUCCUACGGGAGGCAGCACUGAUGAGCAGAUUGCCCUGCUGAAAAACCUUCUCGACUACCUGAACAAGGCUAAAGACUCGUCAGGAGGAACGGAAAGCAUACUGAGCGUCACCACCUGAACCGAUACUACGCGGUAAAAAUCGUGGGGCUGCCGCCACGACGGAAGCGCCCCACGAUUCCUCCCCCCGGGAGGACCAUGUCCCGGCUUCCUCGCCGGGCUGUUCCUCACUUGCUCUCCGUACCGACCUCGAACUUGUAACCAACGCUGUAAACGGAAUGGAUCAGUUCCGUUUCGGGCGCCACCAUGGCGAUCUUCUUGCGAAGCUUCUUUAUAUGGCUGUCAAUCGUCCGAUCGGCGACGAUCCGUUCGUCCGGAUAGAUGUGGUCCAUCAACUGCUGCCUCCCGUAGGAGU
rnacentral:rRNA from 1 species